AAUUACGGAUAAUCGCGCAUUGUUUUCAAUGUGAGGAAAGUCCAUGCUCACACAAACUGAGAUGUUUGUAGUGUUCGUGCGCAGCGAAAAAAUAAGCUGCGGCUCCAUUAAUGGAUGACGGCAGAAAAAAAGGCUAAGGCUUAGCUAUGCCUGAGUAUUCUUGAAAGUGCCACAGUGACGAAGCAGCAGGGGAAACGCUGCUGGUGGAACGCGGUAAACCCCUCGAGUGAGCAACCCAAACAUAUGGUAGGGGCACUUUUCUCCUGGAAAUGAACAGAGAGAAGAGGCAAUUUCGAUUGCAGACAGAUGAUUAUCUCGGAGAAAACAUUCCUGAUCGUUUUCUCUAGACAGAACAUGGCUUAUAGUA
rnacentral:RNase_P_RNA from 3 species